AUUGAACGCUGGCGGCAGGCCUAACACAUGCAAGUCGAGCGGAGCGGCGGACGGGUGCGUAAUGCCUAGGAAUCGGCCUGGUAGUGGGGGAUAACGUUCGGAAACGGGCGCUAAUACCGAAAACUAUCAGAAGAGCCUAGGUCGGAUUAGCUAGUUGGUGGGGUAAAGGCCUACCAAGGCGACGAUCCGUAACUGGUCUGAGAGGAUGAGCAGUCAAACUGUAACUGAGACACGGUCCAGACUACUACGGGAGGCAGCAGUGGGGAAUAUUGGACAAUGGGGGAAAGCUUGAUGCAGCCAUGCCGCGUGUAUGAAGAAGGGCUUCGGAUUGUAAAGCACUUUAAGUUGGGAGGCGUUACCAACAGAAUAAGCACCGGCUAACUUCGUGCCAGCAGCCGCGGUAAUAC
rnacentral:rRNA from 1 species